UUCUUGUCCUCCAAUUAUUUACUUUCUCUGACAAUUUUUUCUUCAUUCAUUUUAACUUAUCUACCUUGAGCAGGACUUCACAAUACCAGUUACCUUGUUAGAUAUACUUUCUUGUGACAGUGAAGUUCUACUUGACCCAUUGGAUGGCUAGAUUCCAUGAAUAGAAUGGAAAUGAGGCAGAAGAAAGAAAGAAAAAGGAACUUUGAAAAGUAUUUAUCUAAGAAAGAUGGAUUCACUUCAGAAGAGCCUUGAUUGUGUAGCAGUUUGGUCAGUUAAAGCACAUCAAAUGCCAUUUAGUCAGACGAAACUGAUCAUUUAUAUAUGAAGAUGAGUCAAUUGCAGAUGGAUGCUGAGCCUCGGUUAUUCCAAUAAAGGAACAAAGGGAAUGCAGAAAGUCCACCAAAAUAAGGAGAUUUGAAUAUUCAAUCAGUCAGUUGAAAUUGUCUCUCUUCUAUUGAAAUAACUAUUGUCUUGGAGGUUCCAGAUCAGUAGAAUUCUGCAGCUGAUCCAAAUAUUCAGUCCAUUCUCUGGAGAGGGACAACUUUGAUUUGUUUUCAUGGUAUGCCCGAAUUCAUGUUUUCUCGGGCUAAUAAUUAGUUUAGUUUAUUGAACAGUUUAAGUUUUUAUUGAAAUCUGUAGAGACUCCGCAGUUUACCUAUGGGAUAUUUAUGAUGUUUAUUCAGCAUUUUGUUUAUUUGGAUUUUGUCUAUUUUUGGGAUUAGUAAGUAACAAUAUAUUUAUUCAAGAUAUUCUGAUAAGGCUUGCAUGAUUUAAGAAUACUUAAAUUAUGCGCCGGUCACAGUUCAGAAUUUUGGGUCGUGACAGCCUCCCAUUUAUCAACUUUUAUUUACUUAAAACUAUGUGCAUGAAUGUAUUUUCCUUAAGCAUUUUAAGUUUGUAUUAUCUACCUUAAGCAAGACUUGGCAAUAUUUUCCACAAUGAUGAGACAGAUAAUGGGAAUGGUGAUGACUCAGAAAAGAAUAAGUUUACUGCACCAGGAAAGGAAAAGAAAAGAAAAGGGAAAGAUCUCAUUUUGGAAGGUUUCAGUCAAUUGCAAAUUCUAUGUGUAGCUCAUGCACAGUUGAAGAUACUGUAGACUGGUAUACUUAUUAAUAACUAGCCAAAUUGUUUUUACUCUCAUUUAAACAAUCUUACUUGGAAAACCAGUUCUUGUUUAUUGUUGCAGCAUUAAAUUUGCUAGCUCCAUUUCCACUUCCUUUUUUUGGGUGAUUUCCUUCACAAGGCAGCUAAUGUUGGAAGAUGAUCCUCCACAUAGUGCUUCAUGAGAUAAUCUUACUUUUUAUUAGAGAUUGCAAGAUGCAAGACAAUAUUAGAUGCACAGCUGCAUUGUUUUCUCUGAAAAAUUAUUCAAUCGAGUAGAAAGCAUGUCUUGGGAGCAAUCAACUUUGCCCCAAGUGAAAGACAAAAAAGAAUGCGUUGGAGGUCGAUAUCAUGCCUUUUAUUAGCUCCUUAUGGGAUUAUGACUGCUAAAUUUUGAGUUCGAGCUGUAAGCCUGAACAGAAAUAGAGAUAAGUUUACAUCACCCACUCGAGCUUUGAGCUUCGAGUUCUCAUCAUGUUGCCAACAUCCUUCAGCUAAAACUGACUAGAGGACCAAGAAAUGUCACUUUGCAAUUGGAAUCAUCAAAUGAUGGAAGAGAAUUAGUGAAUUCAAUCAGUAAGAGUAAACAAAACUAGUGAUAACUGUUGCUUGUGAAACUUGAGCUUUGAAUUCCCAUUUUGAAAGCAUCCUUCAAUUAAAGAUUGAUCGAAUGAACAAUUGAACUAGCUUUGCAAUUAGAACCAUUAGAAGAUGAAACAGGACUUUGUCCAUAGUGCACAAGCGGCUUUCCUUGUUAAAGUUGUUGUAUAUAUUGUUAGAUAUGAGAAGGAUUUGAAGUAAUUCAAUUUUUGCAAUAUUUCAGGAUAAUCUUGAUUAUGGAA